rnacentral:rRNA from 1 species
UUUUAUUUGAGAGUUUGAUCCUGGCUCAGGAUGAACGCUGGCGGCGUGCCUAACACAUGCAAGUUGAGCGAUUUACUUCGGUAAAGAGCGGCGGACGGGUGAGUAACGCGUGGGUAACCUACCCUGUACACACGGAUAACAUACCGAAAGGUAUGCUAAUACGGGAUAAUAUAUUUGAGAGGCAUCUCUUGAAUAUCAAAGGUGAGCCAGUACAGGAUGGACCCGCGUCUGAUUAGCUAGUUGGUAAGGUAACGGCUUACCAAGGCGACGAUCAGUAGCCGACCUGAGAGGGUGAUCGGCCACAUUGGAACUGAGACACGGUCCAAACUCCUACGGGAGGCAGCAGUGGGGAAUAUUGCACAAUGGGCGAAAGCCUGAUGCAGCAACGCCGCGUGAGUG